GACGAACGCUGGCGGCGUGCUUAACACAUGCAAGUCGAACGGAAAGGCCCUGCUUUUGUGGGGUGCUCGAGUGGCGAACGGGUGAGUAACACGUGAGUAACCUGCCCUUGACUUUGGGAUAACUUCAGGAAACUGGGGCUAAUACCGGAUAGGAGCUCCUGCUGCAUGGUGGGGGUUGGAAAGUUUCGGCGGUUGGGGAUGGACUCGCGGCUUAUCAGCUUGUUGGUGGGGUAGUGGCUUACCAAGGCUUUGACGGGUAGCCGGCCUGAGAGGGUGACCGGCCACAUUGGGACUGAGAGACGGCCCAGACUCCUACGGGAGGCAGCAGUGGGGAAUAUUGCACAAGGGGCGGCAGCCGGAUGCAGCAACGCCGCGUGCGGGAUGACGGCCUUCGGGUUGUAAACCGCUUUCGCCUGUGACGAAGCGUGAGUGACGGUAAUGGGUAAAGAAGCACCGGCUAACUACGUGC
rnacentral:rRNA from 1 species